rnacentral:rRNA from 1 species
AACGAACGCUGGCGGCAUGCCUAACACAUGCAAGUCGAACGAUUGCCUUCGGGUGAUAGUGGCGCACGGGUGCGUAACGCGUGGGAAUCUGCCCUUAGGUUCGGAAUAACAGCUGGAAACGGCUGCUAAUACCGGAUGAUAUCGCGAGAUCAAAGAUUUAUCGCCUGAGGAUGAGCCCGCGUUGGAUUAGGUAGUUGGUGGGGUAAAGGCCUACCAAGCCGACGAUCCAUAGCUGGGCUGAGAGGAUGAUCAGCCACACUGGGACUGAGACACGGCCCAGACUCCUACGGGAGGCAGCAGUGGGGAAUAUUGGACAAUGGGCGCAAGCCUGAUCCAGCAAUGCCGCGUGAGUGAUGAAGGCCCUAGGGUUGUAAAGCUCUUUUACCCGGGAAGAUAAUGACUGUACCGGGAGAAUAAGCCCCGGCUAACUCCGUG